UACGUAGGGGGCGAGCGUUGUCCGGAUUUAUUGGGCGUAAAGAGCUCGUAGGCGGCUUCGUAAGUCGGGUGUGGAAGCCCCAGGCUCAACCUGGGGAUGCCACUCGAUACUGCGAUAGCUAGAGUUUGGUAGGGGAUCACGGAAUUCCUGGUGUAGCGGUGAAAUGCGCAGAUAUCAGGAGGAACACCGGUGGCGAAGGCGGUGAUCUGGGCCAAUACUGACGCUGAGGAGCGAAAGCGUGGGGAGCAAACAGG
rnacentral:rRNA from 1 species